rnacentral:rRNA from 1 species
UACGGAGGGUGCAAGCGUUAUCCGGAUUCACUGGGUUUAAAGGGUGCGUAGGCGGACAGGUAAGUCAGUGGUGAAAUCUCUGGGCUUAACCCAGAAACUGCCGUUGAUACUAUUUGUCUUGAAUAUCCUGGAGGUAGGCGGAAUAUGUCAUGUAGCGGUGAAAUGCUUAGAUAUGACAUAGAACACCAAUUGCGAAGGCAGCUCGUUACACGAAUAUUGACUCUGAGGCACGAAAGCGUGGGGAUCAAACAGG